GGCUGGUCCAAAAGUAGUGAGUCAUCUCAAUUGAUUGUUCACAGUUAGUUACAGAUCAAACUCCUUGUUCUACUGUUUCCCCCGUCUCACUAUUGCACUUGAAUAGUCUAAA
rnacentral:Y_RNA from 1 species